UCUGUAGGUGUGUGUCUGAGUUUGUAGAUGUCUCUGAGUCUGUAGGUGUCUCUGAGUCUGUAGGUGUGUCUGAGUCUGUAGAUGUCUCUGAGUCUGUAGAUGUCUCUGAGUCUGUAGAUGUCUCUGAGUCUGUAGGUGUCUCUGAGUCUGUAGAUGUCUCUGAGUCUGUAGGUGUCUCUGAGUCUGUAGGUGUCUCUGAGUCUGUAGAUGUCUCUGAGUCUGUAGGUGUGUCUGAGUCUGUAGGUGUGUCUGAGUCUGUGUGGUUCUUCUUGGAACUGUCAACUUUUUUCUUUGUCAGCAGAACAUUUUAAUUCUAAAAUGU